rnacentral:rRNA from 1 species
AUUGAGUUAACAAUUUUUGCAUGGUUUUUUUGUUGCUGGCUCUUUGAGAGCAAGUGCACACUAUGUAACUUUUGUAUUUUAGCCUCAUGUGCAUCUUUUGUAGACUUUUUGUUUCAAGAUUUGGUUUAUACAAUCUUGGUCAGAGAAAUUGCUAUAUAAGUAUAAGCUUUUCUUGUAAAAGUCUAUAUUUUUCAUAUACACAUAUCUAAUAAAUACUGUGGUUUUUCUUUUGAAAAUGAAAUACAACUUUCAACAAUGGAUCUCUUGGUUCUCGCAUCGAUGAAGAACGCAGCGAAAUGCGAUAAGUAAUGUGAAUUGCAGAAUUCAGUGAAUCAUCGAAUUUUUGAACGCAUCUUGCACUUCUUGGUAUUCCGAGAAGUAUACCUGUUUGAGUGUUGUUAAAUUAUCAAGUUAUUGUAUCUUUAUUUGAUACAUAGAAUUUGGAUUAUGGGAGGGUUGCUGGAUGUAUAAAAGGCCAGCUCUUCUAAAAUUUAUUAGUGAAGGAAAUGCUUUCAAAAUGAAUGUUUUUUCUUUGGUGUUAUAUAGAUUCUUCUAUACCAUUGAGACAUAAUUCUAUUAGUUUUGAAGCUUUCAACUAUUCAAAUGUGUCUUGUAUGACAAUUUAUUUUAAUAUAACCUCAAAUCAGGUAGGAUUACCCGCUGAACUUAAGCAUAUCAAUAA